rnacentral:rRNA from 1 species
GGCGCACGGGUGCGUAACACGUAUGCAACCUACCUAUAACUGGGGCAUAGCUCAGAGAAAUCUGAAUUAAUUCCCCAUAAGACUGUAGAACCGCAUGGUUCAGCAGUUAAAGUUCCGGCGGUUAUAGAUGGGCAUGCGUUGUAUUAGCUAGUUGGUGAGGUAAAGGCUCACCAAGGCUACGAUACAUAGGGGUUCUGAGAGGAUGAUCCCCCACACUGGUACUGAGACACGGACCAGACUCCUACGGGAGGCAGCAGUAGGGAAUAUUGGUCAAUGGACGCAAGUCUGAACCAGCCAUGCCGCGUGCAGGAAGACGGCCCUCUGGGUUGUAAACUGCUUUUAUAUAGGAAGAAACCCCUGAAUGCGUUCGGGACUGACGGUACUAUAUGAAUAAGGAUCGGCUAACUUCGUGCCAGCAGCCGCGGUAAGACGAAGGAUCCAAGCGUUGUCCGGAUUUACUGGGUUUAAAGGGUGCGUAGGCGGAUAUUUAAGUCAGUGGUGAAAUCCCAUAGCUCAACUAUGGAACUGCCAUUGAAACUGGAUAUCUUGAAUACGGUUGAGGUAGAUGGAAUAUAACAUGUAGCGGUGAAAUGCUUAGAUAUGUUAUAGAACACCGAUUGCGAAGGCAGUCUACUAAGCCGUGAUUGACGCUGAGGCACGAAAGCGUGGGGAGCGAACAGGAUUAGAUACCCUGGUAGUCCACGCCCU